rnacentral:misc_RNA from 1 species
AGGGGGCCACAGGCCCAAGAGCAAAUGAAUCUACAAGAAGGUUCCCAAACAGUCCAGACAGAAUAGCGACAAGACCAUUGCCUAGAAAUAUUGCCUUCGAGAAAGUUAGAGACAGCCAUUGUUGAUCAAAGCCCCUCUUAUUGUGCUCUGCACCCAGCCAUGACUCAAAUGCUGAAAAUAGGAGAGAAGUGGCAAUGCCUCCCAAA